rnacentral:rRNA from 3 species
UACGUAGGUGGCAAGCGUUGUCCGGAUUUAUUGGGCGUAAAGCGCGCGCAGGUGGUUUCUUAAGUCUGAUGUGAAAGCCCACGGCUCAACCGUGGAGGGUCAUUGGAAACUGGGGAACUUGAGUGCAGAAGAGGAUAGUGGAAUUCCAAGUGUAGCGGUGAAAUGCGUAGAGAUUUGGAGGAACACCAGUGGCGAAGGCGACUGUCUGGUCUGUAACUGACACUGAGGCGCGAAAGCGUGGGGAGCAAACAGG